GAAAGAAGACAACGAAGAAGAGGAGGAACACCUGCAUUACAGGACCAAAAUCUGACCACAACAAGAGCAUCCUCUGCUAAGGUAGGCUGAACCAAAAGAGAAGGACAACUAAGACAAAACAACUUCAAACUGACGAUGAGCCAGUUUUCGAGGGGGUGGACAGAAGGACUCUUACACACUUCCUUUAAUACGAUGUUUCUUACCUUAGAAGAAGCAGGAGGAGUUUGUUCGUCAGCAGCAGGGUCCGUCUCUUCCAGUUUCUCCUUUAAUCUGUUUUUC